UACAGAGGGUGCGAACGUUGCUCGGAAUUACUGGGCGUAAAGCGCAUGUAGGCGGAUCCAUAAGUCGGGCGUGAAAUCCCCAGGCUCAACCUGGGAACUGCGCUCGAAACUGUGGGUCUUGAGUGUCGGAGAGGAUGGCGGAAUUCCUGGUGUAGAGGUGAAAUUCGUAGAUAUCAGGAGGAACACCGGUGGCGAAGGCGGCCAUCUGGACGACAACUGACGCUGAGAGUGCGAAAAGCGUGGGGAGCAAACAGG
rnacentral:rRNA from 1 species